rnacentral:misc_RNA from 1 species
GAUGAAGAACGUAGUGAAAUGCGAUAAGUAAUGUGAAUUGCAGAAUUCAGUGAAUCAUCGAAUCUUUGAACGCACAUUGCGCCCGCCAGUAUUCUGGCGGGCAUGCCUGUCCGAGCGUCAUUUCAACCAUCAAGCCCCGGGCUUGUGUUGGGGACCUGCGUCCGACGCAGGCCCCGAAAACCAGUGGCGGGCUCGCUGUCCACACCGAGCGUAGUAGCUAACCUCGCUCCGGAGUGGCGCGGGCGCCUGCCGUAAAACCCCCCCAAUUUUACAAGGUUGACCUCGGAUCAGGUAGGAAUACCCGCUGAACUUAAGCAUAUCAAUAAGCGGAGGA